AUUGCUCACUUGGAGGGAACAUAGCUGUGCUGUGAAGCAUCCUCGGCAUUCUGGGAGAGCCCCACAGAGGGAGGAAUGGAAGCCUCUUGCCAACACUCAUGUGAAUAAACUGCCUUGGGAGCAGAUCCUCCAGCACCAGUCAAGCUUUCAGUACUGACGGACUAGACUAUAACCUGAUAGGAAAUCCCAAGCCAGGCCCACCCAGUCAAAGCACUCUGAAAAGCCCAACCCCAGCAUGGGUGAUGACUCAGAAGCUGCAGGCAGUUCCCCAGGAAGAGCCUUCCUUGCCGUUGUUGUUGUUUUUGUUUUGUUGAUUUUUGUUUUGUUUUUGUUUUUUGAGUCAUGGUGUCUCUGUGUAAUUCUGGAACUAGCUCUUGUAGACCAGGUUGGCCUCGAACUCAGAGAGAGCCACCUGCCUCUGCCUUCCGAGUGCUGGGAUUAAAGGCAUGCGCCACCAUGCCCAGCUACAGUUUUUAUAACCUUGUGGAGAGGAAUGGAAAAUCCUGUUACUUUGGGACAUAUGACUCUAGCAGUGGUAUGAGCAAUAGGCUGAUUCCUGAAGACGUGAGUCAUUUCAUUUCUCCUAAAGACUAAAAUAACCAUGUGAGCUAUGUUGACAUAAGCCAGCCUUCCAAAGUGUGGACACUACUGGAGCGCUGAUGAAAUGGAUCUUGAGAGCUGAAGACCGGAAGGCACAUUCAGGAUGAGUUCACAAUACAGUCAAUACUCAAGGACCUUCCUGAGUUGCUGAGUUAUUGAGUGUUCAUCUCUGUGUUAUUCUCGUCUCUAUCUGUGUGUAUUGCCUCUAAUCUUUAAGAAAAUCCUGUGUUGUGGACAUAAUUUUCCUAUUGUAUAGAUAACAUGCAAAUUCAGAAAGGUCAUGCCUUGUCUAAGCCCACAUAGAAGUGGCAGAAUUGGGAUCCAAAUGAACAUUGUCUAGUCUAAAGCUUUCCCUCCUUUCUGAUUUCUGCCCUGGCUGUUCCCUGAGAGCACAUCAGAGAGGAGUUCUAGUCGCCCUAUAUAAAUCAUAAUCAAAUUGAGAUACUAUGCAGCAAUUUUGAUA
rnacentral:lncRNA from 1 species